CCCUGGUCCUCUACUUAGCUCUCAAGCUCUGUUUCCAGUUUACUCCCUUUCUUUCUGAACCCUAACCAAAAUAAAUAGAUAAAAGCUCAAAGCUAUUACGCUCAGCCAUUUCCCCUGCUACUUCCAAUUCCAUUUCCUUUCUCUCCGCUUUCGCCUAAUUUUUUACCCUUAAUUGCGUUUCAUUAGGCUCAGCCAUUUCCUCUGCUACUUCCAAUUCCAUCUCCUUUCUGUUCGCUUUUGCCUAAUUUUUACCCUUAAUUGCGUUUCUGUGGGUGGUAGUGAGGACACAUUUUUGCGGUGUUCUAGAAUAGGGUGGGGUUAUUGUUCAAAUGGCUUCUGUGUCGAGUCAGCAACAGUUUCGUUACACCCAACCUCCAUCGAAGGUGCUUCAUUUGCGAAACUUACCAUGGGAGUGCAUUGAGGAGGAACUGAUUGAACUUGGAAAGCCAUUUGGUAAAGUUGUGAACACAAAGUGCAAUGUUGGAGCGAACAGAAAUCAGGCUUUUAUUGAAUUCGCUGAUUUAAAUCAAGCUAUUGCAAUGAUAUCAUAUUAUGCAUCAUCCUCUGAGCCAGCUCAAGUGCGUGGCAAAACUGUCUACCUACAGUACUCAAAUAGGCAAGAAAUAGUAAAUAACAAAACUACUGCAGAUGUUGCUGGGAAUGUACUGUUAGUUACAAUAGAGGGUGCAGAUGCACGCCUUGUCAGCAUUGAUGUGUUACAUUUGCAGGCCCAUGUCAAGGCAAUAACUUCGAUGGCAGCUUAGUGCAUCGUGAGAAAGAGCACAUGUUUUUUCAGCUUUUGGGUUUGUGCAUAAGAUUACUACCUUUGAGAAGACAGCUGGAUUCCAGGCGUUGGUACAAUUUUCAGAUACAGAAACUGCCUCUUCUGCAAAGAAUGCCUUAGAUGGAAGAAGCAUUCCUAGGUAUCUUCUUCCUGAGCAUGUUGGACCCUGCAACCUUAGGAUCACGUAUUCUGCACACACAGAUUUGAGUGUGAAAUUCCAGAGCCAUCGGAGCAGGGACUAUACUAAUCCUUACCUUCCUGUUGCUCCUUCAGCGAUAGAUGGAAGUGGUCAGUUAACUGUGGGUUUGGAUGGGAAAAAACUAGAACCAGAGAGUAACGUGCUUCUUGCAUCUAUUGAAAACAUGCAGUACGCCGUCACCUUGGAUGCUUUACAUAUGGUGUUUUCUGCUUUUGGGCCGGUCCAGAAGAUUGCCAUGUUUGAUAAGAAUGGGGGCGUACAGGCAUUGAUUCAAUACCCUGAUGUUCAAACUGCCGUUGUUGCCAAGGAAGCUUUGGAAGGACACUGCAUCUAUGAUGGAGGAUUUUGCAAGCUUCACAUCUCAUAUUCACGCCAUACUGAUCUCAGCAUUAGGGUCAAUAAUGAUCGGAGCAGAGACUAUACAAUCCCAAACAAUCCCGUGGUGAACCCCCAGCCCUCGGUUCUUGGGAACCAGUCAGUUUCGGUAAUGGGUCCUACCGUUCAGUACAACAGGACUCCAUUCACUCCAACUCCAGAGCACCCUGUGAUGCCUCAGCCUUCAGCUGGGUGGGGCCAUGGUGUUCCACCAAUGCCGCAGUCCAUGCCAAUGCAGAUGCAUAAUAAUCCUUACAUGCCACCUGGGACAAUGCCGUUUCAAGUUUCCCCAGGAAUGAUGCAGUCAUCGAUCCAGAGUGGCAUACCACAGUCAUCGAUGUUGCCCCGUUAUGGAUCUGGCCAGAUGCAAUAGUCGUAAAUAUAGGCAGGUGGGGAUGUGAGUGCGCUUUCUUGAAGGAUCUGCCUUAAUUUAUCCGUCUUUUGCUGUUUGGUAUGGCUGGCUAUUCGUGCCCGUUUCUUUGGUUGUAAUUCCUCGCUCAAAAUACACACGAAAUGCAUUUUCUUGUGUUUGAACUAAUGUUUUAGCCUCUUGGUUCUUAUAUAUCAUCAUUGACGGUUGCUUUUCGA